rfam:Loktanella sediminum strain DSM 28715 genome assembly, contig: Ga0131264_104
UCAUCGGGAGGCAUUCGGUGGGACGGAUGCCACGAAUAGAUGAAACCCCCCUCUCAAUGGGAGAGUCUCGCGUUCCCGGCGGCGGCUC